rnacentral:siRNA from 1 species
UAGAAUUAUCCUGUAGAUGCUU